UACGAAGGGGGGCUAGCGUUGCUCGGAAUUACUGGGCGUAAAGCGUGCGUAGACGGCUAUCUAAGUCGGGUGUGAAAGCCCCGGGCUCAACCUGGGAAUUGCAGUCGAUACUACUCAGCUAGAGUAUGGGAGAGGGUAGUGGAAUUCCCGGUGUAGCGGUGAAAUGCGUAGAUAUCAGGAAGAACACCUAUGGCGAAGGCAGCACUCUGGGACGGUACUGACGCUGAGACGCGAAAGCGUGGGGAGCGAACAGG
rnacentral:rRNA from 1 species